CAGUAGCCGCGGUAAUACAGAGGGUGCGAGCGUUAAUCGGAUUUACUGGGCGUAAAGCGUGCGUAGGCGGCUUUUUAAGUCGGAUGUGAAAUCCCUGAGCUUAACUUAGGAAUUGCAUUCGAUACUGGGAAGCUAGAGUAUGGGAGAGGAUGGUAGAAUUCCAGGUGUAGCGGUGAAAUGCGUAGAGAUCUGGAGGAAUACCGAUGGCGAAGGCAGCCAUCUGGCCUAAUACUGACGCUGAGGUACAAAAGCAUGGGGAGCAAACAGGAUUAGAUACCCCCGUAGUCCCUGUCUCUUAUAC
rnacentral:rRNA from 1 species